rnacentral:lncRNA from 1 species
GGCUAUGCGUAUUGUACCCGGUUUCCAUUCCAUAUACUUUUGCUAAAGCUCUUCUGCCAUGUAGACAUCCCCACACUUACUCUGUGUAUCAUCGUGAAUAUGAUCGUGUUCUAUCACUUUGAGUAGUGGUGGCUUGUCUCUUCCCCAUAUAUCUCUUAGCUGCAUGAUGACAAUAGUGUUGUGGGUUAUAUGGUAUCCAUUGAUCAGUUUGAGUGUGAGGAUGUCUUCAAAAAGAGGAGCAAAGAGCUUGUUGAACCAACAUCCUUUAGCAUAUCGGCGGCUUUUGUAAAUAAGAUGUGGUUCAAAGACUAUGGCAACAUGGUACAUAUUUAUCCAUAACUAGAAGACAUGAUAUGAUAGUGGUGAUGCCUCACAUAUCACAUAAUAUCCCUAGUUGGUGUCUUCAUCAAUAACAUGAUGAAACACUGUGGAUACUCUGUAUGCCAGUUCAUUCAUCUAGUCAUUUUUAGGAAAUGGAUCAUCAGAACUAUCAGGAUAUUCAUGGUAGUCAACUACCUUAUUAAAGAUCUUCUCUUUGAUCUCUUCAGGUCAUGCUGAGAUAAAUUCUAGGAUGUUGUGGAUAAGAAAACUUCUUCUGUAUUCCAUUCUUGAGGAAGAUUCCAUAUUUCGCCUUUUUUUUUUAUAGAAUUUUGAGUCAAGUUGAAGUUUGGACUUCUCAAU